rnacentral:lncRNA from 1 species
GGGCGGCAGGGGAGGAACCAGACUGCGAGCGGAGAAGCGGAGUUUGCAGCCUCGGAAUUGGCUAGAGCGCCAGAGCCGAGUCAGCCAUAAAGCUACGCGCUAGGCUCUUGGCCCUGACGUGAGGCGCGCAGAGAUGGCGUAACGGGAAUAGUUUUCAACGUCUAUUUCAUUCCCUGCUUCAGAGGACCUCUUUAAUCUUUGAUUUUGGUCCCUGUUUCUAAGAAAAGCAACUGAAAAGGUCGUAAUACCGCCCCUGAGAAAAAAGGAGCAGCGCUAAAUAAUCGAGAAAAUGCCUCCUCUUGAAACGGAUAUAGAGAUGGAAACAAGAUAUAAGAAGGAUUGAGAAUCAUAUAAUACAGGAGCUUAAACACCUAUGCGCGAUGAUAAAGAGGGUACUAUUAGAGCGCUUGGAAAAUACCAGGAAGUUGAGAGAGUUAACAGAAGGGCGCACGCUGGAUUGGCCACAAAAUCGAAUUACUGAAGUAAGUGCAAAACGACAAAUUGUCACAGAAUACAGAGAAAAGGGGAAAAGAAAUUAAGAGGAGAAAAAGAGAGAUCUAGAGGGCCGGUCCAGGAGAUACAAUCUAUGCAUAAUAGGAAUACCUGAAACUGAGGACAGAGCAAGUGGAGCUGAAACAAUAAAGGAUCUACUUGAAAAAAUUUUCCAGAAUUGAAGAACGAACUAGAUCUACAAAUGGAAAAGGCUCAUAGGAUACCUUUAAAGUUUAAUGAAAAGAAAGCAGCAUCUAGACAUAUCCGGGUGACGUUUUUGAAUUUCAAAGACGAAACAUUUUACAAGCAUCCAGUCAGAGAAAGCAGGUUACUUACAAAGGGGCAAAAGUCAGGCUGACCUCAGAUUUUUCUCCUGCAAUUCUAAAUGCCAGAAGACAGUGGAACAAUAUCUAGAGUGUUAAGGGAAAAUAAUUUUGAGCCAAGAAUUAUAUACUCUGCCAAGUUAUCAUUUCUUUACAAAGGAAACUGGAAGACAUUCUUAGAUAUACAGGGGUUAGGAAAGUAUAUCAACCAAGAACUUUCCCUGAAAAUUUUGCUGAAGGAUUUACUGCAGCUAACAGAGAACCUGAAUUAAAAUAAGAAUAGGGAGGCAAUUGUAUGAAAGAACUGAUGGUAUGCAUUAAAACUAGUUAAGGAGCAUUAAGUUUAAAUUGUUAUGUAUAGGGCAUUAAAACUAAAUACAAAAAUAGAAACAUAAGCUGGGUGUAAAAUUUCAGUUUACGUUUAAACUGGAAGGGCAUACCACAUGUUCAAUAUAUUGGACAAAUACUGUUUUAUUUUUAGCAUGUAGUAUUGUAGAUACAAAUACGCAUGUUCUUAAGCUAAACCUAAGUAAAAGGGCUUUGUCACUGUAGAUUUGACAAAUAACAUUCUAAAUGUCAAAUCUGACAAUUGGAAAACAGUACAGUUUUAUUUCCCUUAUUUUUAAGUAUAGCAGGAAAAAAAUAACAAGUUUGUCCAUGUUACUACUGAUACUGUAAAGAAACUUCCAAAUCACUGGUUUGGGAGGGGGUGGAUACAUCCUCAUUUUCUGUACAUGAUGCAUGGGGAAAAACAGUAGUUACUGCAUCAUAUAGUUCCAAGUAAAUCAUAUAGUUCCAAGUAAAUUUGACAUGGAAAUAAGUGUUAACUACAAAAAUAGAAUAUAUACAUUCCAAUGUUUGGAAAAGAAGUGGUAAAAAGAAAAAUAGCAAAAAGACACUAAAAUUAGCAAAAAGUAGAUUGACAGUACAGAUGACCUAUAAACUGGUUAAAUAGCCCUAUUACAAUUGAAAUUGGGUCAAAAAUCAAUCUCUAACCUGAGAUACAUUUGUAUAAAACAAAUGAUCAAAGAGUUUAAAGAUAAUGGAAACUAUAAAUCAUAGAAAUGGCAACAUUUUUCUUAAAAUCUAAACAUAAGACAUUUUAUGUAAAACAUACAAUAUAGGAUGUAACAUUUAACAAACUAUAUGGUAAAUAAUAUGACAUUAAUAUAUAAAAUAUAUGUUCCAGAUCUUGAUGUGGG